rnacentral:rRNA from 1 species
UACGUAGGGGGCAAGCGUUGUCCGGAUUUACUGGGCGUAAAGAGCGCGUAGGCGGAAGCUUAAGUGUGGCCUGAAAGCCCCCGGCUCAACCGGGGAGGGUGGCUGCAAACUGGGCUUCUUGAGGGGGAUAGAGGAAAGUGGAAUUCCGGGUGUAGCGGUGAAAUGCGUAGAGAUCCGGAGGAACACCAGUGGCGAAGGCGGCUUUCUGGGUCCGCCCUGACGCUGAGGCGCGAAAGCGUGGGGAGCGAACGGG